UCCCAUGACCCCCCUCCUUGAGUUUGAUUAAUUUGCUACAAGAGUUCAAAGAACUCAGGGAAACACACUUUCCGGUUUGUUAAACAGUAUUUUAAAGGGUACAGAUGAACAUCCAGAUGGAAGCGAUAUGUAGGGCAAGCUCUCCAAACCCUGGACUCUUGGAUUUCUAUGGAAGUUUCUUCAGGAAAUGACAAGGGUUUCAAGAGCCUUGCAUCAGGAGCUGUGGGCAGAGAGCAGUCAAUACGUUCUACUAUUUCACACAGACAGUUUUCACUACCAAAAUUGUAAACCAAAUCUGGAAGCUUCAAAAGGAGGUCUGAAGAGCUAAUAAUUGCUGGGACUUCAAAAUUCACC